rnacentral:rRNA from 1 species
CAUACAAAUAUAUAUAAUAAAAAAACAAAACAUUUGACCAACCUAGUAGAUGAGAUCGAACAGUAAAUAUACCUAGUACCGCAAGGGAAACAAUAAAGCAAUAAAAAGCAAAGAUUAACCCUUGUACCUUUUGCAUCAUGGUCUAGCAAGAAAUUAAGACAAGAAGAAUCAAAGCCUACACCCCGAAACCAGAUGAGCUACUUUAGAGCAGCUUAAUGAGCAAACCCUUCUCUGUGGCAAAAGAGUGGGAAGACUUAAAAGUAGAAGUGAAACGCUUACCGAAUCUGGAGAUAGCUGGCUACCCAAAAAAGAAUAUGAGUUCUACCACAGAACUAAAAAGAAUAAUUUCUCUACUGUGGAAAAUCAAUAGGGGUACAGCUCUAUUGAAACAGGAUACAACCUGAAUUUGAGAGGAAUAUUAACAUCAACCCCAGUAGGCUCUAAAGCAGCCACCCAAUAAAAUAUCGUUAAAGAAUUAUACAUCUUAAACCCCGUACCAACCAAAAACUCCAAAUCAACUAAGGGUAAAUCCAUUAUAAUGGAUACUAUUAUGCUAGAACUAAUAAUAAGACAACCUCUCUCAAUGCACCCUUCCACUAAAAUCGGACCAACCACUAGCCAUUAACAGACCAGACAAGGCAUUAACUAAACCCUAUACAACUUAAAACAAACUGUUACCCCAACACAGGCGCAUUAAAAAGAAAGAUUAACUAUUAUAAAAGGAACUCGGCAAACAAAGACUCCAACUGUUUAACAAAAACAUAACCUUUAGAUCAAACCAAUAUUAAAGGCAACGCCUGCCCAGUGAACAUUAAACGGCCGCGGUAUCCUAACCGUGCAAAGGUAGCAUAAUCAUUUGUCUACUAAUUAUAGACCUGUAUGAAAGGCAAAAUGAGAGUCUAACUGUCUCUUAUAACAAAUCAAUUAAACUGAUCUCCUAGUAAAAAAGCUAGAAUUUAACCAUAAGACCAGAAGACCCUGUGAAGCUUAAACUAAAAUAUUAAACCACAUAAUAAAUACUUUCGGUUGGGGCGACCUUGGAAAAAAACACAACUUCCAAUAAUACGACCUCCCUCGUACUACAAUACCAGGCUUACAAGCCAACUAAUGACCCAGCAAAGCUGACAAUCGAACCAAGUUACUCCAGGGAUAACAGCGCAAUCCUCUUCAAGAGCCCAUAUCAAAAAGAGGGUUUACGACCUCGAUGUUGGAUCGAGACAUCCUAAUGGUGCAGACGCUAUUAAGGGUUCGUUUGUUCAACGAUUAACAGUCUCACGUGAUCU